rnacentral:rRNA from 1 species
UGAUUCAGCGGCGGACGGGUGAGUAAUGCCUAGGAAUCUGCCUGGUAGUGGGGGACAACGUUUCGAAAGGAACGCUAAUACCGCAUACGUCCUACGGGAGAAAGCAGGGGACCUUCGGGCCUUGCGCUAUCAGAUGAGCCUAGGUCGGAUUAGCUAGUUGGUGGGGUAAUGGCUCACCAAGGCGACGAUCCGUAACUGGUCUGAGAGGAUGAUCAGUCACACUGGAACUGAGACACGGUCCAGACUCCUACGGGAGGCAGCAGUGGGGAAUAUUGGACAAUGGGCGAAAGCCUGAUCCAGCCAUGCCGCGUGUGUGAAGAAGGUCUUCGGAUUGUAAAGCACUUUAAGUUGGGAGGAAGGG